AUUGAACGCUGGCGGCAGGCCUAACACAUGCAAGUCGAGCGGAGCGGCGGACGGGUGAGUAAUACCUAGGAAUCUGCCUGGUAGUGGGGGAUAACGUUCGGAAACGGACGCUAAUACCGCAUACUAUCAGAUGAGCCUAGGUCGGAUUAGCUAGUUGGUGGGGUAAUGGCUCACCAAGGCGACGAUCCGUAACUGGGCUGAGAGGAUGAUCAGUCACACUGGAACUGAGACAAGGGCCAGACUCCGACGGGAGGAAGCAGGGGGGAAUAUUGGACAAUGGGCGAAAGCCGGAUCCAGCCAUGCCGCGUGUGUGAAGAAGGUCUUCGGAUUGUAAAGCACUUUAAGUAGGGAGGCGUUACCGGCAGAAUAAGCACCGGCUAACUCCGUGCCAGCAGCCGCGGUAAUAC
rnacentral:rRNA from 1 species